rnacentral:rRNA from 1 species
UACGGAGGGUGCGAGCGUUGUCCGGAAUCACUGGGCGUAAAGGGCGCGUAGGCGGCCUGAUAAGUAGGGGGUGAAAUCCUGCGGCUUAACCGCAGGGCUGCCUUCUAAACUGUCAGGCUCGAGCACAGUAGAGGCAGGUGGAAUUCCCGGUGUAGCGGUGGAAUGCGUAGAGAUCGGGAAGAACACCAGUGGCGAAGGCGAGUCCCUGGACGACUCCUGACACUGAGGCACGAAAGCUAGGGGAGCAAACAGG